CAAGGGCUGCGGCGUUCGCAAAGGGACUGAUCUCCGGCGACCUUAAUUUCCGUCAGGGAGCCGGCAUUCUGGGCAGGGCCGUGGUCCUGCCUCACCUGGCACCCACCUAGUCUCUAGGUUGACGGGAGUGAAUAUGCCCAGCGGCGCAUGUGGUUCUUGU
rfam:Hyphomonadaceae bacterium BRH_c29 BRHa_1000174, whole genome shotgun sequence.